rnacentral:rRNA from 1 species
UGGGGAAUCUUCCGCAAUGGACGAAAGUCUGACGGAGCAACGCCGCGUGAGUGAUGACGGCCUUCGGGUUGUAAAGCUCUGUUAAUCGGGACGAAAGGCCUUCUUGCGAAUAGUUAGAAGGAUUGACGGUACCGGAAUAGAAAGCCACGGCUAACUACGUGCCAGCAGCCGCGGUAAUACGUAGGUGGCAAGCGUUGUCCGGAAUUAUUGGGCGUAAAGCGCGCGCAGGCGGAUUGGUCAGUCUGUCUUAAAAGUUCGGGGCUUAACCCCGUGAUGGGAUGGAAACUGCCAAUCUAGAGUAUCGGAGAGGAAAGUGGAAUUCCUAGUGUAGCGGUGAAAUGCGUAGAUAUUAGGAAGAACACCAGUGGCGAAGGCGACUUUCUGGACGAAAACUGACGCUGAGGCGCGAAAGCCAGGGGAGCGAACGGGAUUAGAUACCCCGGUAGUCCUGGCCGUAAACGAUGGGUGCUAGGUGUAGGAGGUAUCGACCCCUUCUGUGCCGGAGUUAACGCAAUAAGUACCCCGCCUGGGGAGUACGACCGCAAGGUUG